UCUUAGGAGACUCCCGGGGUCAACUCGGAGGAAGGUGGGGAUGACGUCAAAUCAUCAUGCCCCUUAUGUCUUGGGCUUCACGCAUGUUACAAUGGCCGGUACAAAGGGCUGCGAUACCGUAAGGUGGAGCGAAUCCCAAAAAGCCGGUCUCAGUUCGGAUUGAGGUCUGCAACUCGACCUCAUGAAGUCGGAGUCGUUAGUAAUCGCAGAUCAGCAACGCUGCGGUGAAUACGUUCCCGGGCCUUGUACACACCGCCCGUCAAGUCAUGAAAGUCGGUAACACCCGAAGCCGGUGGCCUAAC
rnacentral:rRNA from 1 species